rnacentral:rRNA from 1 species
GACAGGGGUCUCGAGCGUUAAUCGGAAUUACUGGGCUUAAAGGGUGCGUAGGCGGGCCUGAAAGUGCUUUGUGAAAUCCCCCGGCUCAACCGGGGAACUGCGGGGCAUACUGCGGGCCUUGAGGAAGGUAGGCGCCGAGGGAACAGUAGGUGGAGCGGUGAAAUGCGUAGAUAUCUACUGGAACGCCGAUGGUGAAGACGCUCGGCUGGGCCUUUCCUGACGCUGAGGCACGAAAGCGUGGGGAGCAAACAGG